CAUUGGUGAGAAUCCAAUGCCUCGAAAACCCAAGGGUUCCUCCGCAAGGUUCGUCCACGGAGGGUGAGUUAGGGCCUAAGAUCAGGCCGAAAGGUGUAGUCAAUGGAUAGAAAGCUUUAUUUUUAUGAAUUGUUCAUUCAUUGAAUUAAUUUUAAAAUAAGUUGUAUCUUACUCAGACCAAUAAAUAAAGCUAAGGUUAUAGUUAAAGCUG
rfam:Gossypium raimondii Chr04_contig_702, whole genome shotgun sequence.